AUUCCAGCUCCAAUAGCGUAUAUUAAAGUUGUUGCGGUGAAAAAGCUCGUUGUUGGAUUUCUGGCGAGGACGACCGGUCCGCCCUCUGGGUGAGCAUAUGGCUCGGCCUGGGCAUCCUCUUGGAAAACGUAGCUGCACUUGACUGUGUGGGGCGGUAUCCAGGAAUUUUACUUUGAGGAAAUUCGAAAUUUUCAAGUAGGCAUACGCAUUGAAUACUUUAGCAUGGAAUAAUAAGAUAGGACCUCGGUCCUAUUUUGAUGGUGUCAAGAAGUGAGGUAGUGAUUAAUAAGGAUGGCUGGGGGCAUUUGCAUUUAACUGUCAGAAGUGCAAUUCUUGGAUUUGUUAAAGACGGACUACUGCGAAAGCAUUUGCCAAGGAUGUUUUCAUCG
rnacentral:rRNA from 1 species